rnacentral:rRNA from 1 species
CGAGCGAGAAAGGGAGCAAUCCCCGGUAAAGCGGCGCACGGGUGAGUAACACGUAGGUAAUUUGCCUCCGGGUAAUGGAUAACCUUCCGAAAGGAGGGCUAAUACAAGAUAAGACCACGACGCCGAAAAGCGAUGAGGUCAAAGUGGGCCUCUAUUUAUAAGCUCACGCCUAGAGAGAAGCCUGCGGCCCAUCAGCUAGUUGGUAGGGUAACGGCCUACCAAGGCGAAGACGGGUAGCUGGUCCGAGAGGAUGAUCAGCCACACUGGAACUGAGACACGGUCCAGACUCCUACGGGAGGCAGCAGUGGGGAAUCUUGCGCAAUGGGCGAAAGCCUGACGCAGCGACGCCGCGUGGGUGAUGAAGGCCUUCGGGUUGUAAAGCCCUGUGGGGAGAGACGAAUAAGUCGUAGCCAAUACCUCCGAUGAUGACGGUACCUCCUUAGCAAGCACCGGCUAACUCUGUGCCAGCAGCCGCGGUAAGACAGAGGGUGCAAACGUUGUUCGGAAUUACUGGGCGUAAAGCGCGUGUAGGCGGCCACACAGGUCGGACGUGAAAUCCCUCGGCUCAACCAAGGAAGUGCGUUCGAAACCGUGCGGCUAGAGUCUCGGAGAGGAAGGUGGAAUUGUCGGUGUAGAGGUGAAAUUCGUAGAUAUCGACAGGAACGUCGGCGGCGAAAGCGGCCUUCUGGACGAAGACUGA